GGAAUUGGUGGGGUUUCUCUGGUGUGGUGUCACGGGGUCUGCUUCUGUUUUCAGCACAGGUAGGUGGGGUGGUGUGUCACGGGAUGCUGACACACCGGCGGUACAUCAGACGUCAUUUGAUGGAGCGUUAUUUAGGAGCAGCGCGACAGACGUCUGGUGUCGGAGUAUUGCCACCUCCCCGAGUGCUGGAUCUAUCACCCGCUUACCUGUCAGCUGUUUGUGAAGCCGCAUUUCCGGGAUCUCUACAGAGAUAGAUCUCAGCAUUUCUUCUACUUCCCGGGAAUCCUCGCCCGAGUCUGUACAGCCAGUGUGACAAAUCCACCCUGCGUGUGCGGGUUACCCCUUUCCCUCAGAAUGCGUGUCAGCUCCCUUCCCUGGUUUCCCUCCGUUUAUUUGUCGGCAUACAUAUUCCAUCCCGUGUAAAUAAGUUGGACACUGUAAAUAAAGAGCACUUCCUGCAUUUUCUGCGUUUCUGUGUGUUCUGCCAUAGGGUCCGUUUACUUAGCA